UACGGGGGGGGCAAGCGUUGUUCGGAAUUAUUGGGCGUAAAGGGCGCGUAGGCGGUGCGGUAAGUCACCUGUGAAAUCUCCUGGCUCAACUGGGAGCUUGCAGGCGAAACUGCCGUGCUGGAGUGUGGGAGAGGUGAGUGGAAUUCCCGGUGUAGAGGUGAAAUUCGUAGAUAUUGGGAAGAACACCGGUGGCGAAGGCGGCUCUCUGGACCGUAACUGACGCUGAGGCGCGAAAGCGUGGGGAGCAAACAGG
rnacentral:rRNA from 1 species